rnacentral:tRNA from 2 species
GGAGAGCUGUCCGAGUUGGCCGAAGGAGCACGAUUGGAAAUCGUGUAGACCGUUACCACGGUCUCGAGGGUUCGAAUCCCUCGCUCUCCGCCA